rnacentral:rRNA from 1 species
UACGGGGGGAGCAAGCGUUGUUCGGAUUUACUGGGCGUAAAGGGCUCGUAGGCGGCCAACUAAGUCAGACGUGAAAUCCCUCAGCUUAACCGGGGAACUGCAUCUGAUACUGGAUGGCUUGAGUUCGGGAGAGGGAUGCGGAAUUCCAGGUGUAGCGGUGAAAUGCGUAGAUAUCUGGAGGAACACCGGUGGCGAAGGCGGCAUCCUGGACCGACACUGACGCUGAGGAGCGAAAGCCAGGGGAGCAAACGGG